rnacentral:tRNA from 1 species
GCGGGUCUAGUCUAAUGGCAUGAUGCAAGCUUGCCAUGCUUGAGGUUCGGGUUCAAUUCCCGAGAUCCGCACCA